UUAAAGGAUUUAAUAUAGAGGAUUUUGAAGAAGAAGGCGACGAAGAUGAGCGCCAUUAUGUCGCAGAGUGGAGAAGAGGGAGUAAACGACCACGUGAAGGAUGGCAAGCUUUCGAUUGUGAAGUGGAGAAAGUGGGAGAAAGACAGUUGGAACUUGUUCAAAUGCGUGAUGCAAUGACAAGAGCAGAAGAGACUCCAGCUUUGAAAAGAAAGAAAUUUCAAAAUAGCAGAUAUGCUGAUGAAUCCAGCAGUGACACCAAAGACACUCAAGUGUGCCAGGUUACAGUCUUCUACGCCUGAGGGAAUCUGCCAUUAAUACUGGGUUUUAAUUUGCGAUUAGGCCCUAGGUAGGAAGCAGUAUCUGUCACAGAAGGCUACAAGUGGACGCUGUUGAUGGUACAGUAUUAUUCAGUUCCGCAAAGUUAUUUUAGACAGCAGUAAAAAAAAAUGUUUUUGGUUUGUUUAUUUAGAACUCAAAGACUAAAGCAUCUGCAAAGCAACAAAGGUCUACUGAAAUUCUGAAUCAGCUGACUAAGAAACCGCAAACUAAUAAAGAGGAUGGAGAGGUACAACAACUUAAAAGUAAAAUUCAAGAACUAGAACAGGAGAAUAAGAAGCUCAAGGAAAUGGUAGUUGGAGCUAUCCCUGUGAUAUUGGACAAAAUUGAGGAGCUAGGAAAGAGGGACAAAGCUGGUCCUACUGACCACUCUAUUGACAGUGAGGCAAAUUGUCUUUGUGGAAGUCCACGGCAUGCUGCGUCGUCUGCAGGAUCAACUGUGUCCAUAUCCUCAAUUCCUCAAUCACAAGGAAAUGGAAGACAACUUGACAAGGUGGAAAUUCAUCCAGGAAGUGGAGUGUAUAUAGACCAGCUGGCUUGGACAAUAACAAAUAAGGCUACUUCCUACACUUCAUUUGUGAGAAAUGCUAUGCUCUCUGUGUUUGACAUUGAAACUUUAGUAAAAAGUAAUUUACGUGGUGGAAGUGGCAAACGACAGAAACAUGGGGAAAGAAGAGAGGCCUUGGAUCCCAACAAAGUGAAUGCCAUAUACGCUGCAACUCUGAUGAAAUUUCCACUUGCCACCAAAUCACAGAUUGGUUCUGUAAUUAAUGGGAAAAUAGCUGAACUUAGGUAUGGAAUAAAGAAAAACGCACACAAAAAUACACAAGGCUUUAAUGAUACUAACUGAUACUGGUACUGGGCUUAGAAGUCAUAAACUGUGUGGUAGUUCUUGUUCUGUUUUAGGUUUCCCCUGUAUUUUAUUUAGAUGUUUAAUUUCGAAAACAAAUGAAACAUCCCUUAUUGAAGUUUUCCCUGUUGACUUUAUUGUAAUGUUUUUGCACUUUUACCAUUGAUUUACCUUACUUUUACCAUGGUUUCCUACGGUUUUCAAUUAUUUUAAGAUAUCUUCAAAUAUUUCAAUAUGUCUGUUUGGCGAGCUACAGGGCCAAACUGCCAGUUAGAGAUACCUUCAAAUAUUUGAAGGUAUCUCUAAAUGAUGAUUCGGCUUGCCGUAAGAAAUAGUGUUAAUUUACAGUAGCGUUAUUGUAUCUAUAGUGAUAAUGUACAUGUGUAUAUCCGAGAAAUAUUAGGGGAUGAAAGUAAUGUUUUUGUUUUUAAGUAAUUCAGUGAAACUCCAACUCUGUUUAUAACAAGAUUGUAAACAAGAUUUUGCAGUCGCUCAGAUGAGGGCUCAAACUGAUAACUGUUCAAUAAAGUUUUAUAAAUUUAUAAAA